rnacentral:rRNA from 1 species
UAUGGGGGGGGCAAGCGUUGUUCGGAAUUACUGGGCGUAAAGGGUUUGUAGGUGGCUUAUUAAGUCAGACGUGAAAUCCCUCAGCUUAACUGGGGAACUGCGUCUGAUACUGGUUGGCUCGAGUGCAGGAGAGGAACGCGGAAUUCCAGGUGUAGCGGUGAAAUGCGUAGAUAUCUGGAGGAACACCGGUGGCGAAGGCGGCGUUCUGGACUGCAACUGACACUGAAAAACGAAAGCCAGGGGAGCAAACGGG